rnacentral:rRNA from 1 species
AUUGAACGCUGGCGGCAGGCCUAACACAUGCAAGUCGGGCGGGGUUUUCGGACCUAGCGGCGGACGGGUGAGUAAUGCGUAGGAAGCUGCCCGAUAGAGGGGGAUACCAGUUGGAAACGACUGUUAAUACCGCAUAAUGUCUACGGACCAAAGUGUGGGACCUUCGGGCCACAUGCUAUCGGAUGCGCCUACGUGGGAUU